rnacentral:rRNA from 1 species
UACGUAGGGGGCAAGCGUUGUCCGGAAUCAUUGGGCGUAAAGCGCGUGUAGGCGGUUCGGUAAGUCUGCUGUGAAAGUCCAGGGCUCAACCCUGGGAUGCCGGUGGAUACUGUCGGGCUAGAGUACGGAAGAGGCGAGUGGAAUUCCCGGUGUAGCGGUGAAAUGCGCAGAUAUCGGGAGGAACACCAAUUGCGAAGGCAGCUCGCUGGGACGUCACUGACGCUGAGACGCGAAAGCCAGGGGAGCAAAGCGGG